CAACAUCCACGCCACGCACACUCGCUCCCUCGGAUGUGGCGAUGCUGGAUGCUAGCAAACCAUGAUGCUAAAGCUACGUUUAGCAACACUAAUGAAGGCUUGGCUAACUCUGGACUUUAAAACUAAUUAAAAUACAGACGGGACUUGAUUAUGAUGGAUUUACCCAAUAACGUCACGUACACAUGUAUGUCUUUGACACACAUGCAUCACCAGUAGGCCUAACUGAAGUCCUGCAAUGAGGAGAGGAUAUUUGACUUGCCUCACAAAUGCUUCACUGCACUUUUCAGAAAAAUGAUGCGGAAGAGGAGUGGGUGGAAAGAAGGAUGGGAGAAUUGCAGGAAGCGGCUGAACCCGGAGCAGGUGAACACAGAUGUGGAUCGCCAUUACUGGUUCUCUAGCUGCCUUCCUCCCGUGGCCCCCGGCAGUUGCGUUCAAGGGUCCCACAAAGCCGGCAGGGGCCAGCCAACAUUUGCAGUAGAGUGGGCAGCUGAGGGCCCGGCCUGAGCCAGGAGAGAGGCAGGUGAGGCAGGCGAGCCGGAGCGCCCAUCGCCGCCGGCUAGGAGCCUCUGCGCAGUGAAAUCAAUACGAAGGAGAGAGGCUAGCAGAGGUUGGCCAGAACCGCCUGCGGGCCCCUCUGAGCCCUGGGACUCACCACAAUAGUGUUCCCACCUCCAUCUCUUUCCAGCUUCCUUCAACAGUUCUGGCACCAGCCCGAUCCAGCGCCAUCACCGUUGCACCCGCCGCCCCACACAAAUCUUUUAGUGUGGGUUCGGCCUUGAGGGAGUUUUGCCAGGAACAUUUUGUCAGAGAGUCACAGAGGCGGGACACAAGGGUGGAAGAAAAGAAUAAGCAAAGACGUGGGAAAAAAGCUUGAUUCUGUUUGAAUGAGGAUUCACAGGGAAAGAAUGAUAAACUAGACGAUCCAUCCAAGCCCAAUACACCUUUAUCUCACGGGCCUGGAUGAAAGGACAACUUUUUCUCCAAUCUGUUAUAUCAGACUUUCUCUUUUUUAUUGCUUUAUAUUUUCUGAGCUGCACUAAGAGCACCCGCCUUCAGAGGAUAUGGAAGUGCAGUAUUGAUCCAAAAGGUGGAACGGUGGAAAGGGGGGGGGGGGGCUUUCAUGGUUUCCUUUCUCUGGGUGGAAGCAGAACCUGAAGUCCACUACUCAGCGCUGUGUAACACAUAAUGAGUGGCUGCAAAAGUAAGACUUGCUUUUGCCCUUUUUUUUUUUUUUACUGCAAAUUAGCAUAAUGACGGACUGAAGAUGUGACGGACGCUUGGCUUUGGACUUAAAGCAUCUGAACACAGAGAGUUCCCACUUUUUGGCACACAGAGGACAGCACAGGGAUGGUGAACGGGGGUCCUUGCUGAAUGCACGUGGCGAGAUGGGAGGAGAGCAGGAAUACGAGAAACACGAUUGAAGUCCCACCAUGAUGAUGGAAAGCAACCGCCACUGCAACAAAGUGUUAUUUUUGUUGUUAUUUUUAGGUUUGCCCACACAUUUGGAAGACACCAGCUGGAAAACACACCAUCCUUUCAUGGAUUUUUGGAUGUGAGCAGUCGUGCUUGAUAUGUUGGAUUUUUCAACAUCUUCUGACAGCACAACCAUAAACAUCACAUCUGAUGAAGUUUUGCAUUUUUCUUUCUUUUCCCCCAAAGCUCAUGAACACGUCCAAGUGACCAACAAACUGAUCCCAUUUGGGUUCUACUGUAUCAGCAGUGCAUUGGAAGUCGAUAUGAAGCAAUGGCAGCCUGCCAGCUGUGCUUACUUGAGCAGUGGCAUUGGUGGAAGGUUGGAAGGGCAACAGUUAGAGCUAGUGGCCCAAAUCUACGGUGUCAAUUAAGCGCCUUUGUGGGUUUGCAGCGGGAGCGUGGAAGUGAGCUGCCUGCUGCUGAAUGAAACUAACCUACAGUGUUUGUGUUCUGAUGAUCGGGUCAAAAUUUCACCAUCGUAAAAUGUUUAAAUACUAUAAAAACAAGUUUUUUAAUGUAAUAUUUAGCAGUACGUGUGAAAACGAGUUAUACAAGCAGCUGUCAAUGAAGUUAAAAACAAUGCAGUGAAGUUUACUUUUGAUUAUAUUAGUAUAUGUUGAUAUAUUUUUUUAUUAACACUGUAGUACAAAACAUGACAUACAAAACAUACAUUAGCCAUAAAAAAAAACAAUCUUACAGCUCAGUAGUAAUCAUGAAAAACUCAUCUUAUUUUGUAAAUAUCUGUAACAUUGUUACGACUGGCCAACUAUUUAAGUUUGUCCAUUCAGACUUGCCGUAGUUGUUUUUUUAACUAUGGAAAGGUCAGAGUGUUUUAGUGUCUUGAGAAAUGUAAAUGAUCUCCUCUACACCUGUUAAAUAAUACACCUGUAAAUACUGCAGUCGUAUUUAGUGCAUUUUUAGUACAUUAAUCCAAAUUUUAAUCUCUUAACUGUUUCUGUAUGCAAGUUGCCUAUUAUAAAAUCAGUUUUUAUGCAUUGGGUUUCUUGUGCUUGAGUUGUAGGGGUGGAAAACAAUGGUCAGUCACACCCUUAAGUGGACAUUGAUCGGCUGUCAUUAUUUUUGGGCCUGUUUAGCAUCAGCUGCAUUGCAGUUGGGAAGACAAGGUGAGUAGCGGAGAGGAGACGUCAAAAUGUAGGCGCAUGUGAGAGUCAGCGGUCUAGUGAAUGGGACAUUUACAUUUCAAAAACACUCCCACAGUACCAGUGAUAAAAGGUAGAGUGCUUCUUUGUCAGAAGGAGUUUGCUUACCACGGAAGAAGCUCAAGUUUUAACGCAAAGCACUCAGUCACGAGUGCAGCCACAGCUAACUUUAGCAGAGAAGACGUUAACAAUUUAGCAAGCCGUAGCAAAGCUCUUUGCCAAGCUAAAUUUGAAGAGAACACCUCGAAUAUUGGCAAGUCUGCCAAAGACAGGCUGAUGAAUGUUGUUAGGAAAUGGAUAGCGACGAACUGCAGGCCGAAAAAUACAGUGACAGAUGAGGGAUGUGAUGCAAAAUACGUCCAAUGACCCAUCAUGCAAACCACCUGCAAGACUACAGUGACGACCAAAAUCAGUACAACGUCGAAAACAACACAACGCGUCAACACACACGACUCACAAAGUAACCUACCGAGUGCACCAUGUGGGCCUACAAAUAAAUACUUACGCACAAUGCCAUGCCAAAACACCACCCAUAUAUUCCCGCCGCAAGGCAUGCUGGGUAGCUUGUGGUACUCUUUCUCCCAACAUUUUGCCAUGUUUGGCGCAUUUUUACAUGGUUGCAAAUUAUGUUGAGGAGGUCGCCAGAGACGCAAACAAGGAGGAGUUAACAUACUCUUGAUAGCCAACGUUUUAUUGUUCACAGUUCAUAUUGUUGUUGCAGCUGGACUACCCAGCAUGCCUUGCAGGCAUUUGGAAAUAACAGUUUUGAGUUACGUGUUUAGCGCUUAGUUGUUCUCACCCACUUAGAAGUAGUAGCAGUUGCUGUGGAUGUGUUGUGUUUUCGUUUCGUUGCACCGUGAGUAAAUGACUUUAUAAAGCCACUUUUUUUCUUAUACUGUAUAUCUUUUGAUCUAUUUUUGAUCUGCUACAAUAAUGUCAUGAAUUUAAAUGAAAAUACCUUCGGGUGAGGGCUUUUCGGGGCAGUUUUUAGGUGAGAUGAACAAAGGAAUGAAUUCAAUUAAUUACAGCUCAUAAUGAAUUGAGGCGUUCCCUCGCUACAUUGCGGUUCACCUUUAGAGAAUUCGCUGUUUAAGUGCAAUUUUGCAUAGAUUUUUUUUAAAGCGCAUUGUGUUCUGCAUCCUUGUGGAGUAUUAGAGCCAUCUAUUGGUGCUUUGUUGUGUGUCUGUUAUUGUAUUAACUGCUGCUACCAGCAGAGGGUGUUGUAUAGUCAUAAGAGUUAGGUGUUUCCCCCCCACCCGCCACAUCGUCAGCCGGUUAAAUAUACAGCCACAACAGUCCUGAUUGGCUAAGGGAGAACUCGUCCAUUGUGUUCUGCGUUCUGAUUGGCUGUAGACCAUUGUCAAUCAAUCUCCUUCGUGCACCACUGCCGUGUUUCCUGUUUGCUAGCGAUAGGACGCCAUUAACGAAUACUUUAAUUGAAUCAGCGGUUCAUGGAGGACUACGUGGAGGAGUAAAAUACCACAACAGGAGCAAUAUGUUUUAACAAGGAUACAAAAACGCUACAGCCGAACGUCAGGGGAGUGAACAGGUGGGUCACUUAAUUUCUUGUGUCCAAGAGAUUGAUCAUAAAAUUCAAAGGACAUUUGAGUGUUUAAACGAGAGAGAAAUGUGAGAAAAUGUUAAUGCCCGUCUGAGAAAAGUGUGUAAGUGUGUAUUGAGAGGUUUUACAGCCUUAAAACAUUAAUAAUAAUUGCAAACCGGUAAAGUUGUCUACUUUGCGGAUUUCACUUAUUGCGGGCUAUUUUGGGAACCAUAUCUCUUGACAGCACAAAUGAUGCAUCUUUAUGUCAUCUUCAUAUUUUGUUUUUCAAUGUUUCAUGCAAGAAGGCUAAACAAAAAAAAAAACAGACCUUGAGCUAAUCCCGUUAGCAUGUCAAUGGCGAUUUCCAUAAUAAGUUUGCAUAAUGCUAAUCGCUAUCUUGUAGCUAACGAGACUUCUCAUUUCUAUACCAAUUGUCCAUUUAUUAUUCAUUUCCUCUAGGGGUCUUCAAUUAAAAUUGAGAAAGGGCCAUUAAUGCAAUUUUUUUCACAUCGAAGGUCCGACCCUCAUUUUGCCUUAAGUUGCAUCAAACAGACCAGUUCAUAUGAAUAUGAAAUAUAAUGAAACUCUGCACAUUUCCUUAUUGUUUCAAUGCAACACAAUUAACCUGGCACCUGCGCGGCAUUUAAAAGAAAAUAUAAACAAAUUUUGCAUAAAUAAUAAAAAGUUUGACUGUACAAACAAUGAAAUGAACAAGAGGCUCUAAGUGAGGUUAUUAUCCGCGCUCUCACAUCAUCACUUCGGUGGAUAUUUUUUAAGCAAACCAUGGUCACUUCUUGGCAAGUAAACGAACAAUUUCAUUGGCUCAUUUUGAAUGACGUCACCGCAUAACACCCCUAUAAUCACCUUUACACUACUAUUAUUCUUUGUUAACACCACACUGGUAAUGCACAAGCUACGGCAUUACUGUAAAAAAAAGCAAGAAGAAUAAAGUAAGAAGCCAAAAACAUACCACCUCCGCACGGAACGGGAGGAUAACUUUUUUUCACCGUGUCAUGUUAACGUGAUGUAAUCUCAUGUCUCAUCAAUGUUGUGCGUCAUUACUGACGCCUACUGACCAGAAUACUCCAUAUGACUUGUCUUUCAAUAUUUUUUGACUAAUAAUUGGCCAAAGUCGGCGAUCAUUUAUUAAUUCAUUCUUGAAAAACCGCGAUAGAGCAAGUGAGCGAUGUUCGAACCACGAUGUAGCGAGGGACGGCUGUAUGUAAGUCGUAUGCAUGUUGUGUUUAGCUUACGUGCCAUUGUAAAUUUAAACAAAACCAUCGUUGAGCUAAUUGUGUUAGCACAUUAAACGCGACUUCCAUGUUAAGUUAGCGUAACGCUACUCACUACUUUUUUUUAGCGAACACGCACAGCUUGCUAUUAGGCUACAUAACUUGUCUUAUGACAAUAUUUUCUAAAUCCAGUUCACAAACACAAAAAAAACUUUGCCAUGCUAUCAGUAGCAGUUUUCGCGCCAUCUUGCAGUGUUUUAUGACAUGAUAGGUUACAGCGUGGAGGAUGAUAAGGGCCUUCCGUAGUGGCGACGGGUAAGUCAACGUUAGCAUGUGUGUUUAUGCUUCUCAUGUCUACAUUUUGUUUUGUACAUUAGUGCAUGGCAUGGGGUACAUUAGAUUACUAUUAGGUCUGGAGCGCACCUUUCUGGUCUACAUCAGCCAUAUGGUAUCCACUUGACACACUUAGUACAUGCAGGCCUCAGCCUUCCUCCUUACCGAGAAGAGCUGGUUAGGCCUCUGUGGCACUAUAUAGUGUGUGUGUGUGUGUGUGUGUGUGUGUGUGUGUGAGGGGAGAGGGUGUCGUGGCCCUGAAAGAAAGUAGGAGAUUAUCCCAUUCUGCGUGUCCAGUCACCAGUGCAGUAUCGACCCUGGCGGCCCACCCAGGGUGCACCCAUCCAGCCGUGAGAUGGCCUGAUAUACAUGCUCACUGGCCAUGUUGGAUUCCCGCACACUCCAUCCAUGUUUUUUUUUUUACUCGAGAAAAUCCUGGAAUGACCGCCAAUACAUGGCCACACAUGCACGCACUUGAAAUACAGUGACCAUCAAGUCGUUUUGAGUGUCCUUCGAGGCGAGGCGGAGGUCAUCAGGGAGGUGGAAAAGCUCUUUAAUGGUGGGAAUGAUAGCAUAACACCUAUAGAUGGAGUCACGGAUCACGUCACAUGCAGUUUGGGUACACUUGUACAACUCUUUGAUGGACCGCUUACUUCCAUGAGUGCUGCUAAAGCGUAAGAAACCAUAAAUAUACUUUAUUGUUUUUUUCCUUGCACUGCGGGGCAAGGACCCCCGUAGAAUAUUUUUGUUGUUGUUACUUUUUACUCUUAAUAUUGUUGUUAUGCCAGCAACUAAAUUGGCUUUUGGAGGGCUUAAAUGAUCUUGAAUUGUACAGGAAUAAAUAUAUCAACAUGUAAUUUUCAUUUUAAUUUUAAUUGUAUUUUGCUAUGUAGAAAACGGAUGGAUGGACGGAUAUACUGAUACCGUUUAUAAAAUAUUUUGUCCUCAUUGUAGAAAUACAAAAUACAGUUUUGCCAUAUAAAGUCGUCCCUCGCCACAUGCCAAUUUGAAUUUUGUGGCUUCACAGUUUAAAAAAAAUAUAUUCAGUAUUAAAAUUUAUAUUUCAUGGUUGAAUAUGGCCUAUUGGUAAAAAAAAACUCUGCUCAUUUAAUCAAAUUUUAAGUAUUUUUUGCUCAAAUGAAGCUUUUUCAAGCAUAAAAAUGGCUAAAUUAAGAAGACACAUUCAAAUUGUGAUAUGCGGUAUUCUACACUGGUCACUAGGUGUCAGACGGUGAAACAAACAUGCUUCAGACAUGACAGCCGGAACAACAGGCUUUUAUUGCAGGUUUGAAUUAUCUCACAACAGGCACAAUAAUAAUAACAAAAUAAUCAUAAUAACAUGGGCUACUGUUGCGGCCAUAGUCCAGCUAAAACUCAACUCUAAACCCCAAAUUUCCUGUCCACACGUCUGGAAGACGUUUACUGCAAAACACACAAGCACAAUUUUUAUCCAUCCAUCUAUUUUUUAUGCUGCUUAUCCUCACUAGGGUCGAGGGUAUGCUGGAGCCUAUCCGAGAUGACUUUGGGCGGGGUACACCCUGGACUGGUCGCCAGCCAAUCGCAGGGCACAUAUAGACAAACAACCAUUCACGCU